rnacentral:rRNA from 1 species
UACGGGGGAGCAAGCGUUGUUCGGAUUUACUGGGCGUAAAGGGCGCGUAGGCGGUCAGCACAAGUCAGUUGUGAAAUCUCCGGGCUUAACUCGGAAAGGUCAACUGAUACUGUGCGACUAGAGUGCGGAAGGGGCAACUGGAAUUCUCGGUGUAGCGGUGAAAUGCGUAGAUAUCGAGAGGAACACCUGCGGCGAAGGCGGGUUGCUGGGCCGACACUGACGCUGAUGCGCGAAGCCGGGAGCAACGGG